CGGCUGCCUAUCAUGCAGUCGAGCGCGAGGUAAGCAGGUAGAUCCUCUUCGGAGGUGACGCCUGUGGAACGAGUGGCUGACGGUUGAGUAACACGUGGGCAACCUGCCUGUAAGAGUGGGAUAACCCCGGGAAACCGGGGCUAAUACCGGAUAAUACUUUUCGUUGCAUAACGAGAAGUUGAAAGGCGGCUUUUAGCUGUCACUUACAGAUGGGCCCGCGGCGCAUUAGCUAGUUGGUAAGGUAACGGCUUACCAAGGCGACGAUGCGUAGCCGACCUGAGAGGGUGAUCGGCCACACUGGGACUGAGACACGGCCCAGACUCCUACGGGAGGCAGCAGUAGGGAAUCUUCCGCAAUGGACGAAAGUCUGACGGAGCAACGCCGCGUGAGUGAUGAAGGUUUUCGGAUCGUAAAACUCUGUUGUCAGGGAAGAACAAGUGCCGUUCGAAUAGGGCGGCGCCUUGACGGUGCCUGACCAGAAAGCCCCGGCUAACUACGUGCCACAGCCGCGGUCAUACGUAGGGGGCAAGCGUUGUCCGGAAUUAUUGGGCGUAAAGCGCGCGCAAGCGGUCCUUUAAGUCUGAUGUGAAAGCCCACGGCUUAUCCGUGGAGGGCCAUUGGAAACUGGAGGACUUGAGUACAGAAGAGGAGAGUGGAAUUCCACGUAUAGCGGUGAGAUGCGUAGAGAUGUGGAGGAACACCAGUGGCGAAGGCGACUCUCUGGUCUGUGACUGACGCUGAGGUGCGAAGCGUGGGGAGCGCACAGGAUUAGAUACCCUGGUAGUCCACGCCGUAACCGAUGAGUGCUAGGCGUUAGGGGGUUUCCGCCCCUUAUUGCUGAAGUAACCGCAUUGAGCACUCCGCAUGGAGAGUACGGCCGCACGGCUGAAACUCAAAAGAAUUGACGAGGGCCCGCACAGCCGGUGAACCAUGUGAUUUAUUUCGAAGCAACGCAAAGAACUUAACCAGGCCUUGGCAUCAUCUGUCAAUUCUAGACAGAGGAUGAUCCUUCCGGGACCAAAGUGACCGGUGGUGCAUGGUAGUAGUCAGCCCACGCCGCAAAAUGUUGGCUUAGGUUCCGCAACGAGGGCAUCCUUGACUUCUAGUUGCCAACAUUCGGUUGGGCCCCUUAAGGAGACUGCCGGUGGUAUAGCCGAGGAGGUUGGGGAUGACGUCAACCCAUCAUGGCCCUUAUGACUGGGGCUCCACACGUGCUCCAAUGGAUGGAACAAAGGGCAGCGAAGCCGCGAGGUGAAGCAAAUCCCAUAAAACCAUUCUCAGUUCGGAUUGCAGUCUGCAACUCGCCUGCAUGAAGCCGGAAUCGCUAGUAAUCGCGGAUCAGCAUGCCGCGGUGAAUACGUUCCCGGGCCUUGUACACACCGCCCGUCACACCAUGAGAGUUGGUAACACCAGAAGUCGGUGAGGUAACCUAUAGAGCCAGCCGCCCAACGGUGACUCCAU
rnacentral:rRNA from 1 species